GAGCCGUAAGGCGAAGCUCUCUAUUUACCAGUCGAUCUACGUUCCUACCCUCACCUAUGGUCAUGAGCUUUGGGUCAUGACCGAAAGGACAAGAUCCCGGAUACAGGCGGUCCUUUUUUUGGACUUGGAGGGCGGGCAUUAAGAUAGGAGAGCGUUCUGGCCAAAACUUUUUGUAAAACUCACAGGGGAAUCCAUCAGGGCCUGGAGAUUUGUUGGCGGGCAUACAGUAGAUUGGAUUGUGCUGAAGAUUUCUUCCGGUGACAGGGGUGAAUCCAAAAAUACUAUAUCAUCUUCAGAAAUAGUCAUAAGCGGGAUUCUGUCUAAAAAUUUGGUAAUAUCAAAUUGUUUAGCCAUGACUUGCGAUUUAUAUAACGUUUUGUAGAAAUCUUUAAAUAAAUCAUUAAUAGAAGUAGCAUUGUAUGUGAUUGAGCCAUCCGGGGACUUCGUUGACUUAAUUGUUCUUUCACUUUUUUGUUUUUUUUAUUUGGUGGGCCAGUAAUCUGUUAGGUUUAUUUGCAUAUUCAUAAUAUUUUUUGUUUAGAAAGGAAUAUAAGCUUUUUAAUAUGAUUUGUGUGAUCCAGAUUAAGUUCAGCUCUGACUCAACAUAGUUGGGCCCAAUUUGUCUGAGUAGGGACUGUACUGUGUAGACACUCAAAUCUUUUUACUUCUCUUUCAAGGUUCUGUCUUUUUUUGGACCAAGCCUGUCUGCAUGCUGAAUUAUAAGAUAGAGGGCAUAUUAUAAUUGUAGCCUUCGCAGCGUCCCAAAUAGUUGCAGAUGAUACAGUCUUGUGUUCACUUAGCGUCAUAUCCAGCUGGACUGGAGCAUGAUCGGACAGAACGAUUGGACCAAUUAGGCAGGCAGACACUGCGUGGAGAUAUUGGGUAUGAAGCAGAAUGUAGUCUAAUCUUGAAUAGGAUCCAUGGGGGUUAGAGUAAAAAGUGUAUUCUUUACUCCCCCGUUAAAUUCUCUCCAGACAUCAUUAAUGCCAGACUCAUUGCAAAGUUCUCUAAGGACCAGGGAUGAUCUAAGAUUAGUGGCUGAGUCUAAGGUAGACUUAUCCAUUUUUUGGUCCAUAACACAGUUAAAAUCACCGGCGCAAACUCCCAAGCCCUUACAGUGCUGGUUAAACAAUAGUAUGGUUUUAGACAUGAAUUCAGGUGAGUCUUCAUUCGGAGCAUAAACAUUCAGUAUGACAAUAGGUUGACUAUACGCUGUACCUGUAAUUAAAACAUACCUCCCGUCCAGGUCGUUAAUCUGUUGAUCUUAAAUAAAGGGGAAGUGUUUAAUAAUUAAAAUAAUUGUGCCCCUCUUCCUGGUAUUUGCUUUAAAGGAUGAAAAAAUAUCUGUCGGUGUGUAAUGAAUGAAUAUAAUAUACAAGUUUCACUUUUUAAAUGGAAUUAGGGAAUUUUUUAUUUUUUUUUAAACAAAUUUUUUUACAUUUUUAUUGUAACAGAAGGGGGCGCAAAUGCAAACGUGUGCGAUUAAUAGUUUACCGGCCAUAAACAUGAUUUAUGUCAUUUUAAUUUAUUUUGCCCUGAUAUAUUUUAGUUUAAUUAAUUCGUUAAUUUAUGAGUGUUGAUUUUCGCUGAUUCCACUGGGAAGGAAUUAAAUGUCACACUUUGAUGAACUUUUUUUAUUGCAUUUUAAGUAAGAACACGUGAAGUCGAAGGAUUAUAGUUUUAUUAACAUAUUAUUAAGAAUUUUUAAUAUUUUUUUUUAGUUUCCUCAAGUGGACUCAUUUCACUUUCCACAGUUUUGUUUGUUUACCUUUAUGUUUCAUUUAUUAUAUCUUAUUUAUUAUGUAGAUAAUGUCUUCUACAUUGCACGUUUAUUUUGUACUUUGUCUGGACAUGAACAGAGCAGUGAAUGAGGUGAGGUGUGACGCAGAACACGUGAUACACGUCCCGGUUUACUGCUGGUCAUGUUGAGGUGAACAUAGUUCUGCAUUGGACAGGAAAAAUGCAUGUAAGACAGAAAUGGGCUUAUAGAUGUAAAAAAAAAUCCUGCAUUCAUCUCUAAAUAUGAGACAUAGGAGAAAUCCAUUCAAAUGGUGAAUUAAGAAGUUGACCAUGCUGGGGGAAAACGGAGAAUUAAUCAAUGAGGGGUCGGAGGGCAGAAAACCCUGAGCAGUAGCGCCCUCACCAGGCUAACAUGGAUUCGAUUGUACAACGUAUGAGGUCAUGUCUUUAGAUGUUUAUUAUUCUUCAUGGUCCAUCUGCUGAUACACAAUGUGUUGGUGCAGAGCAUUGAGACUCGUGAAGCCUUCGUAGGUGGUACAGUCAUCUUACCAUGUUCCAUUGUAGCGGGUGUGGAUGUGUUUUGGCGAGAUGAUAAAGGAACAGUGGUGGUUGAUUUCGUCAAUCGUAAAGAAGAUUUUUCUGAUCAGAACUCAAAAUACAGUGACAGAGUUCAAACUUUUCCAAAUGAGAUUGCAAAGGGAAACUUCUCCAUCAAGCUGAGUAAUGUGAAGCUUUCUGACUCGGGAACUUACACCUGUCGCAACCCUCAACCAGUUCAAAGUAUAAAACUCAGUGUUAAAGAAGCAGAAAAAAAAUCACUACAAAAAAUGGUGAUGUCACAAUGAGCGCAAGCAGCAUGUUCCUGCUGGGGUUCAGUCUGCUGUACAGUUUGGACUUUUGAAGACAACAUGAAGCUCAAGAUGUAUGUAAACGCUGUGUGAGGAGGUUAUUAGGCAAGCCUUCAUACUAACCUUUUGUGUUUUCCAGCUUUCACAUAACCAACAAUGUGGACUGAUAGGAUGUUAGUGAGUGUUGUUCCUUGCAAUAUGACCUCUAUACUUUUGAUCUUUAAGUUCAGACAGUCACCCCUGUCCACUAGAAGUUGAUGUUACAGACUGUUGGGGUUUUUUGGCCGAUUGGUUCGGUGUCUUGUUGCCCAGUACAUCAGUGGUUUCUUUCUUGUUCCUUUUUUUUUUUAAAUUGUUUUAUUGUUCAUGUCCAAUGUUUUUGCAGUGUCUUUUGUUAAUUUUUCCACUUUUAUUAUCUUCAAAAUGACCGGAGAUUCUCCUGUCUUCAUGUUAUUUAUUUACUUUGCAAUGAGAGGAGCAAACAUGUUGGAUUUUGUUUACACAUGUCCCCCCCUGCAUACUCUCAUCAUUCUUCACAAGCAUCCCUCAGCACCCGAAUGAAAAGCUGGGUUUGAACAACUCUUCCGGGUCGGGAACACUACCACUAUGAGCACUGGAGCCCCUCAAGGCUGUGUGCCCAGUCCACUGCUGUUCACUGUUUUAAGCUUAAAGAAACAAAGCCAUAAAUGGUUUAUUGUAACCACCGUCCCUUUGAAACAUAACAUCUUAAACAUUUUAACUUGUCAUAUCCCUUCCCCUACGGCUGAGAAAUGUUAGGGUUCAGUACAUUCACAACCCUCAGUACUCUGAUCACAUCCAUAUCUCCUGAGAAAAUGUUAUUAAUGCAUGCCUCGUUUCCCUUCUUUUAUCUGCUUCACCUUAACUGUCAUCAGAAAACCAGAUUGCCCAUACUGAAUUUCUUUAUUUAAUAAACUAGAUUCAAUUAUAACCAACAAUAUCAAAAACAUAUAAUGAAUCCUUUAUUUUAAAUUAAAAUAGCAAUUUAAAGCACGUUCUGUCUGUUCAAAUGUGGAUUAUUAAAAAUUAAAAUGUCAUCACAGUUUGGAAAAGUUUUUUGCUGUGUAUGUGAUGUGGAUGGCUAUUAGAAAAUCUGUUCAUCUUCCUUGUGUAAAAAGGUACAGGGUGCUCAUGCAGCAUGAAGAUCUGGUUAAAAGUACUAUUUUGGGUGUAAAAACAUGCAAUGUCCAGUUUUUUAAAGAAAAGCAAACAAGUUGAAUGCUUCAGCAUAUAACACCAUAAUCCAUAUUGUAUGUGAACAAUAAAUACAAAAUGCUGAUCUCCAUUAAGUCCUCAUUCUCAAUUCCAUACUUUACCUCUUAGUCUGAGAUGGAGGCAGACGAGUAAAAACUUAAUCAGUACAGCUUUCUCACUAAAAUGUGCUUGUUCUUAAGUAUUGCUUUUAUACAACAGUUUUAUAAAUGAGAAAUUAAUAAUAUUGAGCAGCUGACAAUUCUGACACCUUGUGGUCAAAUGUAAUUUUUGCUCUGAGAACAGAAAUAGAUCUCCAGGAAGUCACACUCACUGACAUUCCUGUCACCUAGGUCUUUCAGAUCUCUGCUGAAACUGGUUUCUCUUCUAACAUUUUAUCUUCAGCUGACAGAAGUCUGACUAAUGUAUUGUCUUCCAUGUCCUCUGAUGAUGUUGCUGACUGUGGAAGUAACUGUUGUAGUUUCUGUUUCUGGAAACCAGGACUGACUUUAAGUGUAUACAUUUAAAAAAAUGACCAGUAGUAAAGCAUAAUAAACUCGGAGACACAACCCUGAUCAGAGGCAAGUAGCAGGUCAUUUACCAAUUUAACCAGUGCUGCCUGUGUGCUCUGAUGAGGCCUAAAUCAUGACCGAUGCAGUUCAUGAAUGCUAUUGCUGCGUAGGUCUGAACAACCGCUGUGUUAAAAUUUUUUCUAGGAUUUUUGCAAUAAAGGAAGUUUUUUUUUAUGUUGGCCUGUAGUUAGAUAUUUGUAAAAAGACCACCUCAGGGUUUGAUUUUCACUCACAGUGGUUGUAAAGGGUGUUUACCCUUCCUGACAGCUUUCUUAUCAACAAGGUGUUUCCACACACACACAGCUGUUGUUCGCUCAUUGUUUUUGGUUUUUCACCACAUUCUGUGUAAAUUCUAGAUAUGUCUGACAAUCCAUAUGCCCAUUUGGCACUAACAGCCAUGCCACAAUCCAAGUCACAGAGAUCAGACUUCCUCUGAUGUUUGAUGUGAACAUUACCUGUAGCUCAGAUUUAAUGCCCAGCUCCUCUGUUUGUCUGUGAAUCUCCGUUACUAGGAGUAAAAUAUUUCCGUCAAAUUAAGGCUUCAGUCUCAGUGUAUAGACCGCAGACCUGCCACCAUUAAACUAAAGUGAAAAAACUACAGUUAUUUUUACCACAAUAGGUUGUCUGAAAUGUCUCUUGUAACACCACAAUUUGUCAUAUCAUUCAUGUGAUAAACAACAAAUCUACUCUGUUUAUAUUUAUGAUGAAUGUUCAUGAAACACAACUUAGUGUUUGAGAAAAAACUUCUGGGCUAAAACUCUUCUCUUUCUGUAUCAGUGACUCUUUUUCCCCCUUGUGUAUUCACAAAGUAUUUACCCCUGUGGGGUAUUAUAUACGUUAGCUUCGUAAGCUUCGGGCCCUACAUUUGUAAGCUUCUCCUUACAGAAAAGUUAUUAGCCUUAGGCUUUGUGAAGCGUUUACUAUACUAGUCCCUGUGAAUGAGCUGUUACUGUAGGAAUGAUUUAUAUUACAGUGAGGACUUUUGUCUUGCUGUUAGAGAACAUUACUGUACACCUUCUUGUCUGGGAAUCUAACUGUGAUGUCAUACAUGAGUUAAUCUGACAUUAAUGUGACUGAUGUGAGAGUGAAGUGGGGAUGAGGGAGGAAAAGAGUAGCUGUGGUUAUAACUACAUUGUAGACUUCCGCACACUUCUGCAUCUGAACUUGAACUGAAGUGUUUCCUGACUUAAUCACACUUAUUGCAGUGUGUCUCGAGCGUCUGGACAACGUUCGACUGUCAGCAUGAGGAUCUUAGUGCUUCAGUUUUAUCUACUUGUGUUCUGUGGAGCUGCUGAAUGUUUCACAGAGAAGUCUGUAGUUUUGGGACAAAAUGUGACACUAGAGUGUGAAGUGUCUGUAAAUAACGUGUACUGGUUCCUGAUGAAGGCAUCAGAACCUCCAGUGUUUAUAUUACGCUCUUUCGCCAGAAAUUCACUGACAGCAGAUUACAAUAACACAACCUUCAUCAAGAGAUUCUCACUGCAGAUUAACAGCAGUUUAUUUAUACACAAUAUCAGUACUAAUGAAUUAGGAGUCUAUUAUUGUAUUUAUACUCAUACUGAUUCACCUCCAAACAUCAGCCAUGGAAUCAGACUUUACAUCCAGGGUCACUCAGCUGAGAAUCAGACAGCCUGCAUAUCUACAGAAACCAGAGACCAGACGAGUCUCAUAAUCUCAGUAAUAAUGAACUGUGCUCUGGUCAUUAUAGGUGUCACAGUUUUUACAGUUCAGCACUGCAGAAGAUCUCCAGAAACUCAGACACAACUUUCUGGUUCAUCACAGCAGCAACAACACAAUGGCAACCUCGUGUACUCUGAGGUGCAGUUCACUAUGAUGACCAGACCCACCAGGACGUCUGACUAGGACUGCACGUACGCUCUUGUAAAACCCCGAAAACGUGACCCGUCGUAAGACCCAUUUCUGCAGCUACUGAUUAUAUUAUAGUCGUCGUUAUCGUCUCUCUGGUUAAGCGGUUUCCCAUAAUGCCCUGACAGUGUUCAGAGGUACAGAGGUAUUUAACUUACAUCUGUAGUGCAGGAAGAGAGACAUUCUGAUCAUUUCUGACCUCUGUGCACUCGAGCUACCAAGUGGGUGGAAACUUCUCCAUUCCAGCUAACCACCAUGAGCCCUGUGCAUCUAUUUACAACCUGCAGAGUCAGUGUUAUAGAUUUAACAAGUAAACGUAGUGGAACUCAUUUAAACAUAUGCUUUUGUUUGUUUGUUUUUUGCGUUAACUGGUGAAGAUGUGAGCUGAAAAAUCCGCGACAAAAAAUCCUGAGGCUUUUUUUUUUCUCCACGUGAGAUUAGAAAUGACAAGUUAUGCCCUUCAGUUCAAUGCUACAUUUAACUUUAAGUGCAAUAAACUGUUAUAAAAUA